CAAGUGGCGGAGCGCCAGCGUGGUUGAAUAUGCUUUUACUAAUUCUACAUACAAGGGUGAAUAUGCUUUUACUAAUUCUCUGUAGUUUUUGCAAGGUGAUCGGUUUUUUAGACAUCGAAGCUCUUGCUUUGGAAGGUUGUCACCAUCCCAACCUGGAUUUGAGGCUUAACUCCUUGCCCUCAAGUGCAACAAGCUCACCAGCCUAUAUCUCACUUGCACUAUUGUUUGAGAUAAGCCAAUAACCAUUGGCCUCGAGUGGUGAUCGAAGGAUUUAAUUUGAGAAGCUAUUAUGCUACAACUGCUGUCACUUUAUUUCAUUUCAACAGAAGUUUACACCAGUUUAAGACUGAGCUAUUGUCAGGUAACCAGCAUGUAUGUGGUUUUCAAAAAUUAGUUGAAGCAUGGAAAGGUAUAAUUAUUAAUGAAUUUGGUCCAUGGAA